UUUAGGUUUCUUAGAACGGCUAUUUCCUGUCAUAUACAGAUACGCCUAAUAAUAUUAUUAUCGAAUCAUGCGUUUUGCGAUAUUUGUUUUUAAGCUGUACCCGUGAGUUCCGUGAUUUCCCAGCGCAGUUAUUGCUGUUUUUUAGAGAACAAUAUAUCUGCCGGCACUGUUCCUCCAGCAAACAAAAUUAUUUGCUUCUCAUCUGCACUUACCAUCAGUCAUCAAAUAUGGUGUUAAUAUGGCUGGUGAACGUGUGUUACGGCAUUUUUUUCCGAAUUCUCAUAAUUUGCUGGAGUAUUUAAGAGCUUAUCUGCAGAUAAUUGCAAGGACCGCGCGGUGGAAUCGUCACCGGAUCCGCUUCCAGGAUGGUGGCGUUGCGCCGGCUAAUCCGCCCCGCCGCCGCGGUCAGUAUAGCGCAAAUCAGUACAAAUAUACAAAUCACCGAGAUCAGCACCACCAACACCACAAAGACGAUUACGUUGACGUUCUGCGCGGUGGUCGGUGUGCCGCCGGGCAGCUGGGAGGAAUGUGGGCCUUCCGGCGAUGUUCCCAGCCAUUCGGCCACUUUAUCCAAUGCGACCUUUAGGUAGUACGGCGACCAGAUAAACAGUACACCAAUGGCGAUGCAUAAUACCACGGCACAGCUGUACAGGAUGCAGAGAAUAAUGUUGAAUGCGCCGACUAGAAAGAAUAAUCGCUGGGAUGGGGCUCCUUGCCGACUCUUUUUAACAACCAGGACACCGAGGGAUCCGGUGACCAUCAAGAAGAUGUCGAAUAGCAGCCGUACAACGACAGGCCAAAUGUGCUCGUUGGGAAUCUCUGUUAAUAAAAACAGCUAACAUUUAACAGCAUAUUUCGUUUUUCUUAUUUAUUUCUUGAUUUCCGGAUGUUAUGUUUCGCCGAACACUGCAUGUUUUGUAGAUUCACACAUCUAUAAUUAUUAUGUAUAUAAGGCAAAAAUGUUAUACAUUUGGAGCAACAACCGGAAGACAAAAUGUAAAGAUACAUAAGACAGAAGUAUAUGAUUUAUGUAUAAAA